rnacentral:rRNA from 1 species
CCCUUAGAUGUUCUGGGCCGCACGCGUGCUACACUGAUGCAUUCAACGAGUCUAAAACCUGGUCUGAUAGGGCUGGGUAAUCUUUUGAAAGUGCAUCGUGAUUGGGAUAGAUGAUUGCAAUUCUUCAUCUUCAACGAGGAAUUCCUAGUAAGCGCAAGUCAGCAGCUUGCGUUGAUUACGUCCCUGCCCUUUGUACACACCGCCCGUCGCUCCUACCGAUUGAAUGAUCCGAUGAAUACCAUGGAUUGAGAGUACGAAUGGGUUCGCUCAUUUCUGCUGCUCGAGAAGUGGAGUAAAUCUUAUCAUUUAGAGGAAGGAGAAGUCGUAACA